rnacentral:rRNA from 1 species
GAUGAACGCUAGCUACAGGCUUAACACAUGCAAGUCGAGGGGAAACGAUAUUGGAAGCUUGCUUCCGAUAGGCGUCGACCGGCGCACGGGUGAGUAACGCGUAUCCAACCUGCCCAUCACUUGGGGAUAACCUUGCGAAAGUAAGACUAAUACCCAAUGAUAUCCGUCGAAGACAUAUGAAGUGGAUUAAAGAUUCAUCGGUGAUGGAUGGGGAUGCGUCUGAUUAGCUUGUUGGCGGGGUAACGGCCCACCAAGGCGACGAUCAGUAGGGGUUCUGAGAGGAAGGUCCCCCACAUUGGAACUGAGACACGGACCAAACUCCUACGGGAGGCAGCAGUGAGGAAUAUUGGUCAAUGGACGAGAGUCUGAACAAGCCAAGUAGCGUGCAGGUUGACGGCCCUAUGGGUUGUAAACUGCUUUUAUAAGGGAAUAAAGUGAGUCUCGUGAGACUUUUUGCAUGUACCUUAUGAAUAAGGACCGGCUAAUUCCGUGCCAGCCGCCGCCGUAA